rnacentral:rRNA from 1 species
GGGAACCCGCUGAACUGAAACAUCUAAGUAGGCGGAGGAAGAGAAAACAACAGUGAUUCCGAAAGUAGUGGCGAGCGAAAUCGGAAGAGCCCAAACCAAGGUGCGUGCACCUUGGGGUUCGGACCGCAUUUAGUUCCGUAAGUGAGUGGAAGACGAUGGAAAGCGUUGCCAUAGAGGGUGAAAGCCCCUUACACGAAGCGUAAAGGAAUGAGCGGAAUCCAGAGUACUGUCAGACACGUGGAACCUGGCAGGAAUACGGGGGGACCACCCCCUAAGGCUAAAUACUACUCAGUGACCGAUAGCGAUUAGUACUGUGAAGGAAAGGUGAAAAGGACCCCGGGAGGGGAGUGAAAGAGAACCUGAAACCCUGUGUUUACAAACUGUGGAACAGCGCAAGCUGAACCGCGUACUUUUUGUAGAACGGUCCGGCGAGUUAUAGUUACUGGCAAGGUUAAGGACUUAAGGUCCGGAGCCGAAGCGAGAGCAAGUCUGAAUAGGGCGCAAAGUCAGUAGAUAUAGACCCGAAACCGGGUGACCUAUCCAUGUCCAGGAUGAAGCUAAAGUAAAAUUUGGUGGAGGUCCGAACGCACAUCCGUUGAAAAGGGUGGCGAUGAGGUGUGGAUAGCGGAGAAAUUCCAAUCGAACCCGGAGAUAGCUGGUUCUCCUCGAAAUAGCUUUAGGGCUAGCCUCGCUGAUAAGUCUUUCGCAGGUAGAGCACUGAAUUCUUGAGGGGGCGUCAAAGUCUACCAAGAGAUAUCAAACUCCGAAUGGCGGUAAGAUAUAAGCGGGAGUCAGACUGCGGGAUAUAAAUUCCGUAGUCAAAAGGGAAACAGCCCAGAUCUACAGCUAAGGUCCCAAAGUACAUGUUAAGUGGUAAAGGAUGUGGGAUUUCAUAGACAACUAGGAUGUUGGCUUAGAAGCAGCCACACAUUCAAAGAGUGCGUAAUAGCUCACUAGUCGAGAGGUCCUGCGCCGAAAAUUAACGGGGCUAAAACAUGACACCGAAGCUUAGGGAUGGUGUAAACCAUCGGUAGAGGAGCAUUGAAAACACGUAGAAGCGGUACCGUAAGGAUCCGUGGAGAGUUUUGAAGAGAGAAUGCCGGAAUGAGUAGCGAGAUGGAGGUGAGAAUCCUCCAGGCCGAAUAUCUAAGGUUUCCAGGGUAAAGCUGAUCUGCCCUGGGUAAGUCGGGGCCUAAGGCGAGGCUGAGAAGCGUAGUCGAUGGACAACUGGUGUAGAUUCCAGUACCUUACUAAAUCAGAAAUGUGGGGACACAUGGAGAAAGAGAGAGCCGGGAAUGAGAAGACCGGUGCAAGGGAGGUAGGAGUAUAGUAGGAAAAACCGCUAUGCAAUCUGAAGACCUGAUGCGGAUCGAAAAGAAGUAGAGAAGCUCUUGGACUCUGUGGCGAGAAAAGCCGCUAUUGUGUUUAGUAAGCCCGUACCGCAAACCGACACAGGUAGAUGAGGAGAGAAUCCUAAGGCCGGCGGGAGAAGCAUUGUUAAGGAACUCGGCAAAAUGACCCCGUAACUUCGGGAGAAGGGGUGCCCAGGCAACUGGGCCGCAGAGAAAAGGCUCAAGCAACUGUUUAGCAAAAACACAGGUCUAUGCGAAACCGUAAGGUAAAGUAUAUGGGCUGACGCCUGCCCGGUGCUGGAAGGUUAAGAGGAGAGGUUAGCGCAAGCGAAGCUUUGAAUUGAAGCCCCAGUAAACGGCGGCCGUAACUAUAACGGUCCUAAGGUAGCGAAAUUCCUUGUCGGGUAAGUUCCGACCCGCACGAAAGGCGUAAUGAUUUGAGCGCUGUCUCAACAAUGCACCCGGUGAAAUUGAAGUACCAGUGAAGAUGCUGGUUACCCGCGCCAGGACGGAAAGACCCCAUGGAGCUUUACUCCAGCUUGAUACUGGGAUUCGGUAAUGUAUGCACAGGAUAGGUGGGAGACGAAGAAGAUAGGACUUCGGUUUUAUCAGAGUCGCUGUUGGGAUACCACCCUUAUGUUAUUGGAUUUCUAACCUUAGGCCGUAAACCGGUCAAGGGACAAUGUCAGGUGGGGAGUUUGACUGGGGCGGUCGCCUCCGAAAGUGUAUCGGAGGCGCUCAAAGGUUCCCUCAGGAUGGUUGGAAACCAUCCAUAGAGUGCAAAGGCAUAAGGGAGCUUGACUGCGAGGGCGACGGUCCGAGCAGAGUAGAAAUACGGACUUAGUGAUCCGGUGGUAUGAAAGUGGGAUUGCCAUCGCUCAACGGAUAAAAGCUACCCUGGGGAUAACAGGCUGAUCUCCCC